CGCAAGGUUGAAACUCAAAGGAAUUGACGGGGACCCGCACAAGCGGUGGAUGAUGUGGUUUAAUUCGAUGCAACGCGAAAAACCUUACCUACCCUUGACAUGUCAGGAAUCUUGCAGAGAUGUGAGAGUGCUCGAAAGAGAGCUUGAACACAGGUGCUGCAUGGCCGUCGUCAGCUCGUGUCGUGAGAUGUUGGGUUAAGUCCCGCAACGAGCGCAACCCUUGUCAUUAGUUGCUACGAAAGGGCACUCUAAUGAGACUGCCGGUGACAAACCGGAGGAAGGUGGGGAUGACGUCAGGUCCUCAUGGCCCUUAUGGGUAGGGCUACACACGUCAUACAAUGGCCGGUACAGAGGGCUGCCAACCCGCGAGGGGGAGCCAAUCCCAGAAAACCGGUCGUAGUCCGGAUCGCAGUCUGCAACUCGACUGCGUGAAGUCGGAAUCGCUAGUAAUCGCGGAUCAGCUUGCCGCGGUGAAUACGUUCCCGGGUCUUGUACACACCGCCCGUCACACCAUGGGAGCGGGUUCUGCCAGAAGUAGUUAGCCUAACCGCAAGGAGGGCGAUUACCACGGCAGGGUUCGUGACUGGGGUGAAGUCGUAACAAGGUAGCC
rnacentral:rRNA from 1 species